rnacentral:rRNA from 1 species
GUGGGUAGUUUGACUGGGGCGGUCUCCUCCUAAAGAGUAACGGAGGAGCACGAAGGUUGGCUAAUCCUGGUCGGACAUCAGGAGGUUAGUGCAAUGGCAUAAGCCAGCUUGACUGCGAGCGUGACGGCGCGAGCAGGUGCGAAAGCAGGUCAUAGUGAUCCGGUGGUUCUGAAUGGAAGGGCCAUCGCUCAACGGAUAAAAGGUACUCCGGGGAUAACAGGCUGAUACCGCCCAAGAGUUCAUAUCGACGGCGGUGUUUGGCACCUCGAUGUCGGCUCAUCACAUCCUGGGGCUGAAGUAGGUCCCAAGGGUAUGGCUGUUCGCCAUUUAAAGUGGUACGCGAGCUGGGUUUAGAACGUCGUGAGACAGUUCGGUCCCUAUCUGCCGUGGGCGCUGGAGAACUGAGGGGGGCUGCUCCUAGUACGAGAGGACCGGAGUGGACGCAUCACUGGUGUUCGGGUUGUCAUGCCAAUGGCACUGCCCGGUAGCUAAAUGCGGAAGAGAUAAGUGCUGAAAGCAUCUAAGCACGAAACUUGCCCCGAGAUGAGUUCUCCCUGAGACUUAAAGUCUCCUGAAGGAACGUUGAAGACGACGACGUUGAUAGGCCGGGUGUGUAAGCGCAGCGAUGCGUUGAGCUAACCGGUAC